GUUAAUGUAGCUUAAACACCAAAGCAAAGCACUGAAAAUGCUUAGAUGAGUAUGUUAACUCCAUAAACA
rnacentral:tRNA from 1 species